UGAACAACGACGGAGCCUGGGCCGAUCCCCCCACUCCUCCAGGCUCAACCCUUCACCCGCUGGGGAGAUGCCAAAGGAUCCACAGAGUGCCUAUGCUGAGGAAAUGUGGCAGAAAUGCUGCACUCUGAGGGGCUUGAGUGCCUUGGAUAGCUGAGUCAGUCAGGCCUGCAAGGAAGGGAGCUCCUUGGCAGACCAGCGCUGCUCCUCGUCUGUCUGCAGGCAGCAGCUCAGGAAGUCACGCAGCAAAGCCGAGAGGAGC